UAAGUUAACCAGACAGUCGCCGCUUCUUUUGAUGUUUAUUAAAAAAACAAAAAAUAGAAGAGGAGGAAAGUCCGGGCUCCAUAGAGCAGAGUGCCAGGUAAUGCCUGGGAGGCGUGAGCCUACGACAAGUGCAACAGAGAGCAAACCGCCGAUGGCCUGAAAUAUGAGGAUCAGGUAAGGGUGAAAUGGUGUGGUAAGAGCACACCGCGCGUUUGGUAACAAGCGUGGCAAGGUAAACUCCACUCGGAGCAAGACCAAAUAGGGGUUCACAUAGUGCGGCUCGUACUGAACUCGGGUAGGUUGCUUGAGCCAUCAAGCGAUUGCUGGCCUAGAUGAAUGACUGUCCACGACAAAACCCGGCUUAUCGGUUAACUUACUUU
rnacentral:RNase_P_RNA from 18 species